AGGGAUGAUAAUGACAGUACCUGGUAAAGAAACCCCGGCUAACUCCGUGCCAGCAGCCGCGGUGAUACGGAGGGGGUUAGCGUUGUUCGGAAUUACUGGGCGUAAAGCGCACGUAGGCUGACUAUUAAGUCAGAGGUGAAAUCCCGGGGCUCAACCCUGGAACUGCCUUUGAUACUGGUAGUCUUGAGUUCGAGAGAGGUGAGUGGAAUUCCGAGUGUAGCGGUGGAAUGCGUAGAUAUUAGGAGGAACACCAGUGGCGAAGGCGACUUUCUGGACUGUAACUGACGCUGAGGCACGAAGGCGUGGGGAGCGAACAGGAUUAGAUACCCUGGUAGUCCACGCCGUAAACGAUGAAUGCUAGGUGUCGGGGGUCGAACCUCGGUGCCGCAGCUAACGCAUUAGGCAUUCCACCUGGGGAGUACGAUCGCAAGAUUGAAACUCAAAGGAAUUGACGGAAUC
rnacentral:rRNA from 1 species